UCCCUGAUGGUCCAGUGGUUACGACUCCGUGCUUGCACUGCAGGGGUCACAGGUUCAAUCCCUGGUCAGGGAA
rnacentral:tRNA from 1 species